rnacentral:rRNA from 1 species
CUCCUACGGGGCGCAGCAGUGGGGGAUAUUGCACAAUGGGGGGAACCCUGAUGCAGCGACGCCGCGUGGGCGAAGAAGCGCCUCGGCGCGUAAAGCCCUGUCAGCAGGGAAGAAAAUGACGGUACCUGAAGAAGAAGCCCCGGCUAACUACGUGCCAGCAGCCGCGGGAAUACGCAGGGGGCAAGCGUUAUCCGGAUUUACUGGGUGUAAAGGGGGCGCAGACGGCGAGGCAAGCCAGGAGUGAAAGCCCCGGGCCCAAACCCGGG